AGAGUGACGCCGACGGCAAUAUAUAUCAGCUUAAAUUUGAUACAGUGGAUAUUAACGGCACCGAGGACAUUGUAGCCAAGGGCUUGAAAGAUUUUCCCUCUAAGGGUGACGCGGACGGCAAUAGUAAUGAAGGUAAAUCUGAUACAGAGGAUAUUGACGGUAUUCAUGACAUUGUAACCAACAGCUUGGAGAAUUCUGACUCUAAUG